ACACAUGCAAGUCGAGCGGAGACAGUGAGUAGCUUGCUAUGAGCUGUUUUAGCGGCGGACGGGUGAGUAACGCGUGAGCAACCUUUCCCAGACAGGGGAAUAACACACCGAAAGGUGUACUAAUACCGCAUAAGACCACGGGAUCACAUGGUUCUGGGGUAAAAGAUUUAUCGGUCUGGGGUGGGCUCGCGUCCGAUUAGGUAGUUGGUGAGGUAACGGCCCACCAAGCCGACGAUCGGUAGCCGACCUGAGAGGGUGAUCGGCCACAUUGGGACUGAGACACGGCCCAAACUCCUACGGGAGGCAGCAGUGGGGAAUAUUGGGCAAUGGGGGGAACCCUGACCCAGCAACGCCGCGUGGAGGAAGAAGGUUUUCGGAUCGUAAACUCCUGUCCUUGGAGACGAGUAGAAGACGGUAUCCAAGGAGGAAGCCCCGGCUAACUACGUGCCAGCAGCCGCGGUAAUACGUAGGGGGCAAGCGUUGUCCGGAAUAAUUGGGCGUAAAGGGCGCGUAGGCGGCUCGGUAAGUCUGGAGUGAAAGUCCUGCUUUUAAGGUGGGAAUUGCUUUGGAUACUGUCGGGCUUGAGUGCAGGAGAGGUUAGUGGAAUUCCCAGUGUAGCGGUGAAAUGCGUAGAGAUUGGGAGGAACACCAGUGGCGAAGGCGACUAACUGGACUGUAACUGACGCUGAGGCGCGAAAGUGUGGGGAGCAAACAGG
rnacentral:rRNA from 1 species